CAGGAAGUAGCUUAUAUUAAAGCUAAUUAUUUACAUUAAUUUGAAAAUUUUAUUCUUUUUGA
rnacentral:tRNA from 2 species